GACGAACGCUGGCGGCGUGCUUAACACAUGCAAGUCGAACGGAAAGGCCCUGCUUUUGUGGGGUGCUCGAGUGGCGAACGGGUGAGUAACACGUGAGUAACCUGCCCUUGACUUUGGGAUAACUUCAGGAAACUGGGGCUAAUCCCGGAUAGGAGCUCCUGCUGCAUUGUGGGGGUUGGAAAGUUUCGGCGGUUGGGGAUGGACUCGCGGCUUAUCAGCUUGUUGGUGGGGUAGUGGCUUACCAAGGCUUUGACGGGUAGCCGGCCUGAGAGGGUGACCGGCCACAUUGGGACUGAGAUACGGCCCAGACUCCUACGGGAGGCAGCAGUGGGGAAUAGUGCACAAUGGGCGGAAGCCUGAUGCAGCAACGCCGCGUGCGGGAUGACGGCCUUCGGGUUGUAAACAGCUUUCGCCUGUGACGAAGCGUGAGUGACGGUAAUGGGUAAAGAAGCACCGGCUAACUACGUG
rnacentral:rRNA from 1 species